UUGUUUCAGAUUUCCACUCGGCGGGGAACGGGGAGAGCGCGAGAUUCUCGAGAAGAAUCGACUGUAAUCGGAUGUACUACACUAGCUGGAGCGCUCGUUCGUUUCGAGGUUAUGCAUCGUAAGGCGCAGACGAACGAGUAAGAAACACGGGACGAAAGUGGAGAGUUACUUUUCACCGUGGCGGAAAUAUGGUGGCUGCGUAGAUUCUUCGGAGACUUUAUGCAGGCA